CCUGGAGCGCGCGGGCGAGGCGGGCGAAGCGCACCGGAGCUCACGGGGGCCCACAGGGGCGCGCUCGCACCGCCUGGCUCGGAG
rnacentral:miRNA from 1 species